GACUCACUCACAGGAUUGUGCA
rnacentral:miRNA from 1 species